UAGGGAAUCUUCCACAAUGGACGCAAGUCUGAUGGAGCAACGCCGCGUGAGUGAAGAAGGUUUUCGGAUCGUAAAGCUCUGUUGUUGGUGAAGAAGGAUAGGAGCAGUAACUGGUUUCUAUUUGACGGUAAUCAACCAGAAAGUCACGGCUAACUACGUGCCAGCAGCCGCGGUAAUACGUAGGUGGCAAGCGUUGUCCGGAUUUAUUGGGCGUAAAGCGAGCGCAGGCGGAAUGAUAAGUCUGAUGUGAAAGCCCACGGCUCAACCGUGGAACUGCAUCGGAAACUGUCAUUCUUGAGUGCAGAAGAGGAGAGUGGAACUCCAUGUGUAGCGGUGGAAUGCGUAGAUAUAUGGAAGAACACCAGUGGCGAAGGCGGCUCUCUGGUCUGCAACUGACGCUGAGGCUCGAAAGCAUGGGUAGCGAACAGG
rnacentral:rRNA from 3 species